GCGCAUCCUGUGUGCGUGCAGAGUGGCGUAAAAAUGCAGUUGAAGCAAGCAUUGUAUAAUAAGGUGCUGCGUUACUAGAGGCAAGCAGUGUAUAAUAAGCACUGAGAGGCAAGCAGUGUAUAAUAAGGUACAGCAGUAUGAGAGGCAAGCAGUGUAUAAUAAGGUACAGCAGUAUGAGAGGCAAGCAGUGUAUAAUAAGGUGUAGCCGUAUGAGAGGCAAGCAGUGUAUAAUAAGGUGCAGCCGUAUGAGAGGCAAGCAGUGUAUAAUAAGGUGCUGCCGUAUGAGAGACAAGCAGUGUAUAAUAAGGCGCAGCCGUAUGAGAGACAAGCAGUGUAUAAUAAGCACUAUGAGAGGCAAGCAGUGUAUAAUAAGGUGCAGCCGUAUGAGAGGCAAGCAGUGUAUAAUAAGGUACAGCCGUAUGAGAGGCAAGCAGUGUAUAAUAAGGUACAGCCGUAUGAGAGGCAAGCAGUGUAUAAUAAGGUGCAGCCGUAUGAGAGGCAAGCAGUGUAUAAUAAGGUGCAGCCGUAUGAGAGGCAAGCAGUGUAUAAUAAGGUGCUGCCGUAUGAGAGGCAAGCAGUGUAUAAUAAGGUGCAGCCGUAUGAGAGGCAAGCAGUGUAUAAUAAGGUGCAGCCGUAUGAGAGGCAAGCAGUGUAUAAUAAGGUGCAGCCGUAUGAGAGGCAAGCAGUGUAUAAU